UGCUUCCCCUUCUGUCGUGAUUGUAAGUUUCCUGAGGCCUCCCCAGCCCUGCAUAACUGUGCUAACAAGCGUUGACAAGAAUGUGGACCAAAUGGAACUCCAUCCAUUGCUGGUGGAGAGUGAAGUGGUGCAACCACUUUGGAAAACUAUUAAACUUAAACCACAAGGAAAGUGGAAACCAAAAGAGGGAGUGGGAGUGUGAGUGCGUUUGUGUGUGUAUGUGAGUGUGUGUGUGUGAGUGUGUGAGUGCGUGUGACUGUGUGUGAGUGCGUGUGUGAGUGCGUGUGUGUGUUUGUGUGUGUGUGAGUGUGUGUGUGUGCGUGCGCACGUGUUGGGUGAAGGAGAGACAUCCUUCCCAGAAAAGCCAGGGAGGCUGUGGCUGGGCAGUUGACAAACGGGGAACACCACAAAAACCUAGUCCCUGAAAUGGGAUCAUGUUGGUGAAGUGCUCACAGCAACAGCUGCAAUAAAUGGUUCCCAAGACUGUAAGCUGACCCCUGCAGUGCUAUUUAUCUCCUCCUCCAGCAAA
rnacentral:lncRNA from 1 species